UGCAAUCACUACUGUAAGUCGCUCUGGAUAAGAGCGUCUGCUAAAUGACGUAAA
rfam:Salmo salar isolate Sally breed double haploid chromosome ssa15, whole genome shotgun sequence.